CCUGAGAAACCCAAAAGAUCGAAUGGGGAGAUUCAUCGUCAGCUCAUUUUGUAUAUGUAUGAGUUAUGAUGCGGGUUACUACUUGUAGUAUUGCUUGCACAUUCUUGUACAUUUAUUUGCAGGAUGUUGUCGGCGUGCACUUCUCCCCUAGUAGAACGUCGCGACCCGUUGGGUGUCGGUCUACGGCCCGAGGUGGAGCCUCCAAUGUUUUAAUAUUGGAGACCCUUGGUGUUUCCUGACCGACUGCUCGGCGGUAUUCGUAUGGUAUUGAGCCGCAUAUUAUGCGUCUGUAUCCGUCGCAAGCGAGGCUAAUUUCUAGUAGUACGGACCUAGUGCCGUCGCUGGUAUUGGCCAGCUGUUGGUUGUACGGUGUUCUAAGACAGGCUAAUAUACCGGUCAGCGAUGCUACUGCUUUGGGUACUUUCAGG
rnacentral:rRNA from 1 species